GUGGGGAAUAUUGGACAAUGGGCGCAAGCCUGAUCCAGCCAUGCCGCGUGAGUGAUGAAGGCCUUAGGGUUGUAAAGCUCUUUCAGUAGGGAAGAUAAUGACGGUACCUACAGAAGAAGCCCCGGCUAACUUCGUGCCAGCAGCCGCGGUAAUACGAAGGGGGCUAGCGUUGUUCGGAUUUACUGGGCGUAAAGCGCACGUAGGCGGUUUGUUAAGUCAGGGGUGAAAUCCCGGAGCUCAACUCCGGAACUGCCUUUGAUACUGGCAAGCUAGAGUCCGGAAGAGGUAAGUGGAACUCCUAGUGUAGAGGUGGAAUUCGUAGAUAUUAGGAAGAACACCAGUGGCGAAGGCGGCUUACUGGUCCGGAACUGACGCUGAGGUGCGAAAGCGUGGGGAGCAAACAGGAUUAGAAACCCGUGUAGUCC
rnacentral:rRNA from 1 species